UUUGGGUUUUAUAUAAUUUAAUUAGGGCUAGCAAUUUUGGCUAGUUCGUACAAUUGGUAUAACAUCUAUAGUUCAAAAUUUGAUAUUAUUUGGAUUAUUGGGUGUGCUAAGUGUAAACAAAAUUUUGUAAUAAUCUAAUGGUGUGGUUUAAAGAUAUCUAGUUUUUAGCACAAGAUGAUUUCGGAAAUUGGCAGUUUAGGGUUGGGUAGGAUUUUUGUGAUAUCUAGUGAUUUAUUUGUUGGAUCAAGGUGAAAUUUGGCAUGGUGUUGAAGGACUUAAAGAUCAAGCUGCACACCAAUUUUGAGUUAAAAUUAACAAUUGGAGAAGGAGAAAUCACUGCUGGGAUUUUUGCUUCACUUUUCAAGUUAGCAGCCGAGUGACAUUAGUGCAAUUUUUUGGAGGUUUUAUCACAAUCUAUAAGUUGAAUUGGGCUGAAAAUUC
rnacentral:lncRNA from 1 species